AGGGAUAUAGCUCAGUAGGUAAAGUGAUUGCCUUGCAUGCACAAGGCCCUGGGUUCAAUCCCCAGCAUUACCA
rfam:Ictidomys tridecemlineatus contig032998, whole genome shotgun sequence.